GUCAGAGAGAAGUCACAAUGGAGAGUAUUUGCAGAAAGUUUAGCCAACUAGCAAAGUGCUAGAACCAUCCUCCCCACACAUGGUGUCUAUUCUAGAGUCUUUUCACGUCCUGACAGUCUCAAACCAUGUGUUCCAUUACACGUCCUCUGCCCUGUCAUCCGCAACAGGGAAACAGGGCAAAGAAUGAAGAAAGAGCCCCAGCCUUCGCCUUCGCUGACUGGGGUUCUUAUAUUCUCUUGCUGGCCAGUUAAUCCACCCCAGGGAUGUUCAUCACAUGAGCUGGGACACCAGGACUUAAGUGAGAAGUGGAAGUGUCCAGUUGAUUAUUGGGAGAAAAGCACAGUACCAGUUAAUAGCCACUUGGUCGGAUUAUGAGGAAGAAAGGGCUCAAAAAAGAACAAAAAAAUAACACCCGUUGUGCGAAGACUCCUCCAAUAUGGUUUUAUGUCUUUCUUUGUAUAAUUAUUUUACUGAGCAUUUAUUUUAUGUUUGUCUUGUCCCUUCCCUGGUAGUGUUAUAUACAUUUGCUGAAUAAUUCUUCAUUAAUUCUGCCUCAGAAUUGCCUUUGCAAUGUUAAAAUAUUUGAGAAGAUAUUUAAGAAAUAUGUUACUAUGAGGUGUGUUUAUUUAUUAUGUGGAAUUCUUUCUCUGGGAAUUGUUUUUUUGUCUUUUAGACAUUGUCUUACCUUUUAAUGUUUAUAAAGUCAACAAAGUAUGCACAAUUUCAACAACAUAAACUUUUUAAUAUUUUGUGUUUAAUAUGUAGAGAGGAAGAACAGAUCCAUUAAUGUACAGGCUUAAGAACAUAAUUGCAUAAUUUACACUUGCAUUGUGCAGGCUUAUUCUUCAACUAUGUGCUACUUUUCUACAUUAAAAUUAAAAUUUACCAAAGCUCUGAACACAGUGUAGUAUAUUGCUUGUGUACUGUAUUGAAAACUUUCAUGGACAUUCACCCCUCUUUUCAUUGAAUAGUAAAAAAGAAAAUAAAAU
rnacentral:lncRNA from 1 species